rnacentral:tRNA from 1 species
GGGGGCAUAGCUCAGCUGGGAGAGCAACAGACUGAAGUGAAUCACGUCUUCUGGAGGUCCCCGGUUCAAUCCCGGGUGCCCCCA